UGAGCCAAGUUUGGAUUCUUCCCAGAGUU
rnacentral:piRNA from 1 species